rnacentral:rRNA from 1 species
UGGGGAAUUUUGGACAAUGGGCGCAAGCCUGAUCCAGCCAUGCCGCGUGUGUGAAGAAGGUCUUCGGAUUGUAAAGCACUUUAAGUUGGGAGGAAGGGCAGUUACCUAAUACGUGAUUGUUUUGACGUUACCGACAGAAUAAGCACCGGCUAACUCUGUGCCAGCAGCCGCGGUAAUACAGAGGGUGCAAGCGUUAAUCGGAAUUACUGGGCGUAAAGCGCGCGUAGGUGGUUAGUUAAGUUGGAUGUGAAAUCCCCGGGCUCAACCUGGGAACUGCAUUCAAAACUGACUGACUAGAGUAUGGUAGAGGGUGGUGGAAUUUCCUGUGUAGCGGUGAAAUGCGUAGAUAUAGGAAGGAACACCAGUGGCGAAGGCGACCACCUGGACUGAUACUGACACUGAGGUGCGAAAGCGUGGGGAGCAAACAGGAUUAGAUACCCCCGUAGUCCCUG